CAGUCGCCGCGGUAAUACGAAGGGUGCAAGCGUUACUCGGAAUUACUGGGCGUAAAGCGUGCGUAGGUGGUGGUUUAAGUCCGUUGUGAAAGCCCUGGGCUCAACCUGGGAAUGGCAAUGGAUACUGGCAAGCUAGAGUGUGUCAGAGGAUGGUGGAAUUCCCGGUGUAGCGGUGAAAUGCGUAGAGAUCGGGAGGAACAUCAGUGGCGAAGGCGGCCAUCUGGGACAACACUGACGCUGAGGCACGAAAGCGUGGGGAGCAAACAGGAUUAGAUACCCCGGUAGUCCCUGUCUCUUAUAC
rnacentral:rRNA from 1 species